rnacentral:rRNA from 1 species
AUGCCGUGUGGGUGAUGAAGCUUCUAGGAGUGUAAAACCCUUUUAUGAAGGAAGAACGAAAUGCGGUUAAUAUCUGUAUUUCUUGACGGUACCUCAUGAAUAAGCCCCGGCUAACUCCGUGCCAGCAGCCGCGGUAACACGGAGGGGGCAAGCCCUGUCCGGAAUACCGGGCGUAAAGGGCCUUUAGGCGGCCUAGCAGGGCAGACGUGAAUCCCCGGGCUCAACUCCGGAACUGCGCUUGAACCCGUUAGGCUUGAGGCUACGGAGAGCGUACGCGGAAUUCCUGCUGUAGCGGUGAAAUGCGUAGAAAUCAGGAGGAACACCGGUGGCGAAAGCGGCUGUCUGGACUAGUUCUGACGCUGAGGCGCGAAAGCGUGGGGAGCGAACGGGAUUAGAUACCCCGGUAGUCCACGCUGUAAACGAUGAGCACUAGCUGUAGCGGGUAUCGACCCCUGCUGUGCCGCAGCUAACGCAAUAAGUGCUCCGCCUGGGGAUUACGCACGCAAGUGUGAAACUCAAAGGAAUUGACGGGGCCCCGCACGAGCGGUGGAGUAUGUGGUUUAAUUCGAUGCAACGCGAAGAACCUUACCAGGGCUUGACAUGUUGGUGGUAGGAAGCCGAAAGGUAACCGACCCUUCGGGGAGCCUUCACAGGUGCUGCAUGGCUGUCGUCAGCUCGUGUCGUGAGAUGUUGGGUUAAGUCCCGCAACGAGCGCAACCCCUACCCUUAGUUGCCAUCAGUUCGGCUGCGAACUCUAGGGGAACUGCCGGUGACAACCCGGAGGAAGGUGGGGAUGACGUCAAGUCCUCAUGGCCCUUAUGUCCUGGGCUACACACGUACUACAAUGGUCGGUACAAUGAGUCGCAAUACCGCGAGGUGGAGCCAAUCUCAAAAAACCGGCCUCAAUUCAGAUUGGAGUCUGCAACUCGACUCCAUGAAGUUGGAAUCGCUAGUAAUCGCGGAUCAGCAUGCCGCGGUGAUUCGUUCCCGGGGCUUGACACACCGCCCGUCACACCACGAAAGUUGGUUGCACUAGAAGUC